rnacentral:rRNA from 1 species
AUUGAACGCUGGCGGCAUGCCUUACACAUGCAAGUCGAACGGCAGCACGGGAGCAAUCCUGGUGGCGAGUGGCGAACGGGUGAGUAAUAUAUCGGAACGUGCCCAGUCGUGGGGAUAACGUAGCGAAAGCUACGCUAAUACCGCAUAUACCCUGUGGAGGAAAGUGGGGGACCGCAAGGCCUCACGCUUUCGGAGCGGCCGAUGUCCGAUUAGCUAGUUGGUGGGGUAAUGGCUUACCAAGGCGACGAUCGGUAGCUGGUCUGAGAGGAUGAUCAGCCACACUGGGACUGAGACACGGCCCAGACUCCUACGGGAGGCAGCAGUGGGGAAUUUUUGGGACAAUGGGGGGCAACCCUGAUCCAGCCAUGCCGCGUGCGGGAAGAAGGCCU